rnacentral:rRNA from 1 species
CACGUAGGGUGCGAGCGUUGUCCGGAAUUAUUGGGCGUAAAGAGCUCGUAGGCGGUGUGUCGCGUCUGCUGUGAAAACCUAAGGCUCAACCUUGGGCUUGCAGUGGGUACGGGCAGACUAGAGUGCGGUAGGGGUGACUGGAAUUCCUGGUGUAGCGGUGGAAUGCGCAGAUAUCAGGAGGAACACCGGUGGCGAAGGCGGGACUCUGGGCCGAAUACUGACGCUGGAGGAGCGAAAGCGUGGGGAGCAAACAGG